GGGCGAGCCUCCUCUGCUCCUCUCCUCUUCCCUGCUCUUGCGUCUGCUCCAGCGCGACCUCACCGAGCGGCUCCGCGGCUCUGCCGCCAGCGGCCUGUCGGGUGCAGCAGAAGCCCCCAGGUAGCUGAGAAGUGCGUGGAAUCUUUUUACUGGUACAACUUUCACAACACUUGUGUUAUAGUGUGGAGUAAGGGUGACUAGACAUUUCUCAAGUGUACUGUUUACCUACACAGCGCACUGCAACUUGACUUCUAAAAGUCAAGAGAAGCAGGUUGGAACAAUUGUUUUGUGUAACAUAGAAAGGGCAUUUCAUUUGAUAACGAGAACACAGCUUUUGUGCAAAUAAAAUGCUUUAAAAACUAG